GACGAACGCUGGCGGCGUGCUUAACACAUGCAAGUCGAACGGAAAGGCCCUGCUUUUGUGGGGUGCUCGAGUGGCGAACGGGUGAGUAACACGUGAGUAACCUGCCCUUGACUUUGGGAUAACUUCAGGAAACUGGGGCUAAUAAAGGAUAGGAGCUCCUGCUGCAUGGUGGGGGUUGGAACGUUUCGGCGGUUGGGGAUGGAAUCGCGGCUUAUCAGCUUGUUGGUGGGGUAGUGGCUUACCAAGGCUUUGACGGGUAGCCGGCCUGAGAGGGUGACCGGCCACAUUGGGACUGGGAUACGGCCCAGACUCCUACGGGAGGCAGCAGUGGGGAAGAGUGCACAAUGGGCGGAAGCCUGAUGCAGCAACGCCGCGUGCGGGAUGACGGCCUUCGGGUUGUAAACCGCUUUCGCCUGUGACGAAGCGUGAGUGACGGUAAUGGGUAAAGAAGCACCGGCUAACUACGUG
rnacentral:rRNA from 1 species